UACAGAGGGUGCAAGCGUUGUCCGGAAUCACUGGGCGUAAAGGGCGCGUAGGCGGCUUGGUAAGUAGGGGGGUGAAAUCUCAUGGCUCAACUGUGAGGCUGCCUUCUAGACUGCCGGGCUUGAGCACAGUAGAGGCUGGUGGAAUUCCCGGUGUAGCGGUGGAAUGCGUAGAGAUCGGGAAGAACAUCUGUGGCGAAGGCGGCCAGCUGGGCUGUUGCUGACGCUGAGGCGCGACAGCGGUGGGGAGCAAACGAGG
rnacentral:rRNA from 1 species